GGGCGGAUGGCGGAAUUGGUAGACGCACCACACUCAAAAUGUGGCGACCUUUGGUCGUGAGAGUUCGAGUCUCUCCCCGCCCA
rnacentral:tRNA from 1 species